rnacentral:pre_miRNA from 1 species
CAUGUUUUGUGUAAUUGUGUUAUUUAUAGAAAACAUGAAAACACCAAACAUGU